AGACACCCUUCUGGGGCAAGACUUGCUUCAGUGGGGCUUUGGUGUUCACUGAGUCUGCCCCCUGAGUGUGUCCCU
rfam:Myotis lucifugus cont2.10283, whole genome shotgun sequence.